ACUAUCCUGAAUAUAAUUGCUGUACGUUCGUAUCGCAUACUUGGCACAGCGCUCCCUGUUCAGCCGGAUGAGGAAGAAGACGAUGACGACCCCUGCAAGGAGAGUCAGACCCACCGCCAGGCCGAUGGACAACAUAUCUGCAGAGAGAUCGCAAGGUCCCGUGUUGGGGUUCGGGGAGGCUCCCAUCCCUCGGAGCCAGUCGCCUUGGUCUAUUGAUCCCCUCACGUUGGUCCAGCUGCACAUGUCCAUCUCAAAGUCGCAGGUGCCGUGCGGGGGGCAGUUGGUGUCUAUCAGGUGGACGUCAUCAAAAGCCAUAUCGCCCUCCAGCGUGGGGCCGCCCUUCACACCUUCCACCACGAGCUAAGACAGAUGGAUAAGGUGGGGCAUGUGCCAGGAACAAGCGAGACGUCAUCGACGGCGAUGUCGCCCGCCUCUCCUCCCACGCUGGCCUCCACGAUCACUUGGUGGACCCGCUGCAAGGUCACGUGACUUUGAGCCGCCCGCCACUCGUCCCCUUGGUCCCCUGAUCUUUGCCACACCUACAGGAAGGACGGAGGUGGCGGUGAUUCACGCUGCGCAAUGAGGAUGUGAGGUCUGCGCAACAACACAAUACCCACCGAAACUGGGCAGCUGUUUUGUAACCAACGUUUCACAACUGCGACAAAAGUG